rnacentral:rRNA from 1 species
GACAAACGCUGGCGGCGUACUUAAGACAUGCAAGUCGAACGGGUGUCCUGCUUUCGGGUGGGAUGCUAGUGGCGGAUGGGUGAGUAACGCGUAGGAACCUGUCGUUAAGUGGGGGAUACCGCUGGGAAACCGGCGCUAAUACCGCAUGUGGUCGAGCGAUCGAAGAAAGCAGCAAUGCGCUUGAUGAGGGGCCUGCGUCCGAUUAGCUAGUUGGUGGGGUAAAGGCCUACCAAGGCGUCGAUCGGUAGCUGGUCUGAGAGGAUGGUCAGCCACACUGGGACUGAGACACGGCCCAGACUCCUACGGGAGGCAGCAGUUAGGAAAUUUUCACAAUGGGCGAAAGCCUGAUGGAGUAACACCGCGUGGA